rnacentral:lncRNA from 1 species
UGAGGGCCCGGUCCAUGGACCGCGCGGCCGUGGCGAGGGUGGGCGCGGUAGUGAGCGCCAGCGUGUGCGCCCUGGUGGCGGGGGUGGUGCUGGCUCAGUACAUAUUCACCUUGAAGAGGAAGACGGGGCGGAAGACCAAGAUCAUCGAGAUGAUGCCAGAAUUCCAGAAAAGUUCAGUUCGAAUCAAGAACCUUACAAGAGUAGAAGAAAUGAUCUGUGGUCUUAUCAAAGGAGGAGCUGCCAAACUUCAGAUAAUAACGGACUUUGAUAUGACACUCAGUAGAUUUUCAUACAAAGGGAAAAGAUGCCCAACAUGUCAUAAUAGCAUUGACAACUGUCAGCUGAUUACAGAUGAAUGUAGAAAAAAGUUAUUGCAACUAAAGAAAAAAUAUUACGCUAUUGAAGUUGAUCCUGUUCUUACUGUAGAAGAGAAGUACCCUUAUAUGGUGGAAUGGUAUACUAAAUCACAUGGUUUGCUUGUUCAACAAGCUUUACCAAAAGCUAAACUUAAAGAAAUUGUGGCAGAAUCUGACGUUAUGCUCAAAGAAAGAUAUGAAGAAUUUCUUUGAUAAGCUCCAACAACAUAGUAUCCCGGUGUUCAUAUUUUCGGCUGGAAUCAGCGAUGUACUAGAGGAGGUUAUUCGUCAAGCUGGUGUUUAUCAUCCAAAUGUCAAAGUUGUGUCCAAUUUUAUGGAUUUUGAUGAAACUGGGGUGCUCAAAGGAUUUAAAGGAGUUCUAAUUCAUAUAUUUAACAAACAUGAUGGUGCCUUGAGGAAUACAGAAUAUUUCAAUCAACUAAAAGACAAUAGUAACAUAAUUCUUCUGGGAGACUCCCAAGGAGACUUAAGAAUGGCAGAUGGAGUGGCCAAUGUUGAGCACAUUCUGAAAGUUGGAUAUCUAAAUGACAGAGUGGAUGAGCUUUUAGAAAAGUACAUGGACUCUUAUGAUAUUGUUUUAGUACAAGACGAAUCAUUAGAAGUAGCCAACUCUAUUUUACAGAAGAUUCUAUAAACAAGCAUUCUCCAAGAAGACCUCUCUCCUGUGGGUGCAAUUGAACUGUUCAUCUGUUCAUCUUGC